rnacentral:rRNA from 1 species
GACGAACGCUGGCGGCGUGCUUAACACAUGCAAGUCGAACGGAAAGGCCCUGCUUUUGUGGGGUUCUCGAGUGGCGAACGGGUGAGUAACACGUGAGUAACCUGCUCUUGACUUUGGGAUAACUUCAGGAAACUGGGGCUACUACCGGAUAGGAUCUCCUGCUGCAUGGUGGGGGUUGGAAAGUUUCGGCGGUUGGGGAUGGACUCGCGGCUUAUCAGCUUGUUGGUGGGGUAGUGGCUUACCAAGGCAUUGACGGGUAGCCGGCCUGAGAGGGUGACCGGCGACAUGGGGACUGAGAGACGGACCAGACUCCUACGGGAGGCAGCAGUGGGGAAUAUUGCACAAUGGGCGGAAGCCUGAUGAAGCAACGCCGCGGGCGGGAUGACGGCCUUUGGGUUGUAAACCGCUUUCGCCUGUGACGAAGCGUGAGUGACGGUAAUGGGUAAAGAAGCACCGGCUAACUACGUG